GGCUGAGGAUGGGUUUGCAGGGGCUGCCCCUCCCAUCUCUGCCCCUCGGAGCUGAGCCCAUAUCUAAAACCACAAGGCCCCUCAGCUGCAGUCUCUGGGCUCUGGCUGAUUUGCAUAACCAGCAGGUGUCUCCAGCAAGGGGAUAAGAGAGACCUGGGAGGAACCCUGCUCAGCCUUCGGCCUUGGGGAGCAAAAUCGAGGCACCAGCACCAUGGCCUGGACACCUCUCCUCCUCGGAUUCCUGGCUCACUGCACAGGUUCCAUGGCCUCCUAUGUGCUGACGCAGCCCCCCUCUAUGUCGGUGAACCUGGGACAGACCGCCAAGAUCACGUGUGGGGGAAACAGCAUUGGAGAUAAAUAUUCUUACUGGUACCAGCAGAAGCCAGGUCAGGCCCCCGUGCUGAUUAUCUAUAGUGAUAGCAACUGGCCCUCAGGGAUCCCUGACCGGUUCUCAGGCUCCAACUCAGGGAACACGGCCACCCUGACCAUCAGUGGGACCCGGGCCGAGGACGAGGCUGACUAUUACUGUCAGACCUAUGACAGCAGUGCUGAUGCUCACGGUGACACGGGCAGAUGGGGAAGUGAGACACAAACCCCUUCCCUGUCUGUGUCACACUCUCCUCCAGCCCCAGGAGGCCUGUGCACAUUUCAGGGAGUGGGUCUCACCCUGGUCGCCAGAUUUGAGGUCUCCAUUCCUCUCACCCCGCCAGUGCACCCGACAGGCUCUGCACAAGGUGAAUCAGAGAAGGGAAUGCACACGGUAGUUUUAACUAUGUUUCAUUUCUGACUGUAGGUGAAGGAAUGACUGAACACGUGAGAAGAAGACAUGGAAGAUAUUUUCCAAGAUCAAAUGUUUUAAAACAUCUCUAAAUGAAAUUAUAUGAUCUGAAACACCUUGUGAUGUUGUCAGCAUAUUCAAUGCUGCAAGAGAAGGAAGAGAUUAGUGAACUUGAUUUCAUGGCAAUGAAAAGUCUUCAGUUGGAACAGAAAGAGGAAAGCUGGAAAAAAUGAAUAAAGACCAGUGUGCUUAGGA